CAAGAAUUAUAAAAAGCUUUAACGCCUUUGUGGAUUCAUGAGUUCGCUCGCUGAACCUUUGUUGGCUAUCUUACAGCAAAGUGAGCGCUCCCAAAACCGCUGCAAAUUGGUUGCAGGCCAGGAAAUAGUUUUCAUUUUUUUUUUUCCUGGACCAGCCGGAAACAGGCUAAGUUGCGCGUUGCAACUGUUGCAACUUGUCAAGGUUCGUACGAGGGCCAUCACGUUGCACGAGGAGCAUUCGAUUUAGUAUUGAUGAAUGUCACAGCUGUUUUCCACAAACCGCUGUAUGCAGGAAACAAGUACUACUUUCAAUGUUUUGUCACAGGAAUUAGCGCUGGAUUAAACGUCCAACUCUUCGAGCUUUCAGCUGGACGGAAAAAGUUUCUGUGAGGUUUUCUACAAGCAGGGGCUGCUGUCGGAGAUGAGGAUCAAGGGGUACGAGCCGGAUCGAAAGGUGGUGAUCCACAGCAUGGAAGAGGAGGACAAGGACGAGGUGCUGUUCUAUCACAGCGAGAAGCUGGCGGUGGCGUUUGGGAUUGCCAGCACGCCACCCAGGACGCCGCUUUGCAUCGUCAAGAACUUGCGAGUGCGCUCCGACUGCCACUCGGCAAUCAAGUUUGUUUAGCUGCAGUACCUUGUAUUUGAAACUGGAGGAUCCCAAGGUUUCAACGGAAAACAAUGGCGUUUUUGUACUCACAUAAGGAAAGAUAUAACUAGGUGCAAGUCGCGCUCGUGGCUUCCUUCACCACGGCUUUUCUCAAAAUCAGAUUAGCUUGUGGGAACAGAAAGAAGAGAACUAUGCGAACUCCCAGCAAAAUAUCGCUCGCAAGGAGACGAGAGACGAGGAGGAAAGUACAAGGAGAUACACACUGCUUCGAUGAGGUUUACUCUUGGUUUCCCGAUUUCUGGUUGCAUUUUGCUAGCAAUGUUUACAGGGACGAGACGAAAUUACAUGACGUAAACACACGCACAGAGUGCUUCAGAAGGUU